rnacentral:misc_RNA from 1 species
GUUCGAUGCUUGAAGAGGUUCUGGCAGUAACAGAAGGUGUGCAUGAUGUUCACAGUAUAGCAAAAGAGGCUACUGCUUUGCACUUGUCUCUAAUGGAAGAUCUAUCAAAGGCAAAUGGCAUCCUACUUCCACUUGAAUCUUUGUUAUGCAAGGAUGUUGCUACCAUGACUGAAGCUAUGGCAAAGGAAAGAGAGGCAACGAUGGAGAUA